GACGUAGGGUGCGAGCGUUGUCCGGAUUUAUUGGGCGUAAAGAGCUCGUAGGCGGCUCGUCGCGUCGGCUGUGAAAACCCGCGGCUUAACUGUGGGCUUGCAGCUGAUACGGGCGGGCUAGAGUUCGGUAGGGGAGACUGGAAUUCCUGGUGUAGCGGUGAAAUGCGCAGAUAUCAGGAGGAACACCGAUGGCGAAGGCAGGUCUCUGGGCAUUAACUGACGCUGAGGAGCGAAAGCAUGGGGAGCGAACAGG
rnacentral:rRNA from 1 species